UUAAUUGAAGAGUUUGAUCAUGGCUCAGAUUGAACGCUGGCGGCAGGCCUAACACAUGCAAGUCGAGCGGCAGCACAGAGAAACUUGUUUCUCGGGUGGCGAGCGGCGGACGGGUGAGUAAUGCCUGGGAAAUUGCCCUGAUGUGGGGGAUAACCAUUGGAAACGAUGGCUAAUACCGCAUGAUAGCUUCGGCUCAAAGAGGGGGACCUUCGGGCCUCUCGCGUCAGGAUAUGCCCAGGUGGGAUUAGCUAGUUGGUGAGGUAAGGGCUCACCAAGGCGACGAUCCCUAGCUGGUCUGAGAGGAUGAUCAGCCACACUGGAACUGAGACACGGUCCAGACUCCUACGGGAGGCAGCAGUGGGGAAUAUUGCACAAUGGGCGCAAGCCUGAUGCAGCCAUGCCGCGUGUGUGAAGAAGGCCUUCGGGUUGUAAAGCACUUUCAGUCGUGAGGAAGGUGGUAGUGUUAAUAGCACUAUCAUUUGACGUUAGCGACAGAAGAAGCACCGGCUAACUCCGUGCCAGCAGCCGCGGUAAUACGGAGGGUGCGAGCGUUAAUCGGAAUUACUGGGCGUAAAGCGCAUGCAGGUGGUUUGUUAAGUCAGAUGUGAAAGCCCGGGGCUCAACCUCGGAACUGCAUUUGAAACUGGCAGACUAGAGUACUGUAGAGGGGGGUAGAAUUUCAGGUGUAGCGGUGAAAUGCGUAGAGAUCUGAAGGAAUACCGGUGGCGAAGGCGGCCCCCUGGACAGAUACUGACACUCAGAUGCGAAAGCGUGGGGAGCAAACAGGAUUAGAUACCCUGGUAGUCCACGCUGUAAACGAUGUCUACUUGGAGGUUGUGGCCUUGAGCCGUGGCUUUCGGAGCUAACGCGUUAAGUAGACCGCCUGGGGAGUACGGUCGCAAGAUUAAAACUCAAAUGAAUUGACGGGGGCCCGCACAAGCGGUGGAGCAUGUGGUUUAAUUCGAUGCAACGCGAAGAACCUUACCUACUCUUGACAUCCAGAGAAUCUAGCGGAGACGCUGGAGUGCCUUCGGGAACUCUGAGACAGGUGCUGCAUGGCUGUCGUCAGCUCGUGUUGUGAAAUGUUGGGUUAAGUCCCGCAACGAGCGCAACCCUUAUCCUUGUUUGCCAGCGAGUAAUGUCGGGAACUCCAGGGAGACUGCC
rnacentral:rRNA from 1 species